rnacentral:rRNA from 1 species
AGCUCCAAUAGCGUAUAUUAAAGUUGUUGCAGUUAAAAAGCUCGUAGUUGAAUUUGUGGCAAUUACUAUGGUCCAUCUUGGUACUAAUGGUAAGAGCCAUCCUUGGGGGAAACCUGUGUGGCAUUAGGUUGUUGUGCAGGGGAUACUCAUCGUUUACUGUGAAAAAAUUAGAGUGUUCAAAGCAGGCCUACGCCGUUGAAUAUAUUAGCAUGGAAUAAUGAGAUAGGACCUUGGUACUAUUUUGUUGGGUUGCGCAUCAGGGUAAUGAUUAAUAGGGACAGUUGGGGGUAUUCGUAUUCCAUUGUCAGAGGUGAAAUUCUUGGAUUUCUGGAAGACGAACUACUGCGAAAGCAUUUACCAAGGAUGUUU